GGCAAAUCCGGUACUCGUUAAGGCUGAGCUGGGAUGGGGAGAAGACAUUGUGUCUGCGAGGCGUUGAUUUCACACCGCCGAGAAAAGCCUCUAGAUAGAAAAUGGGUGCCCGUACCGCAAACCGACACAGGUAGUCACGAUGAGAAUUCUAAGGUGAGCGAGCGAACUCUCGUUAAGGAACUCGGCAAAAUGAACCCGUAACUUCGGGAGAAGGGGUGCACUUUAGGGUUAACGCCCACAAGAGCAGCAGUGAAUACGCCAAAGCGACUGUUGAUCAAAAACACAGGUCCCCGCAAAACCGGAAGGUGAUGCCCAGGGGCGGACGCCCGCCCGGUGACUGGAACGAUAACGCGCAGAGGCUAACUUCUGCGAACCUACGAAUCGCACCCCCAGUAAACCGCGGCCGUAACUAUAACAGUCCUAAGGGAGCGAAAUACCUUGUCGGGUAAGUUCCGUCCCGCAAGAAAGGCGUAACGAUUUGGGCACGGUCUCAACGAGAGACUCGGUAAAAACAGAGUAC
rnacentral:rRNA from 1 species